CAGUCGCCACGGUAAUACGUAGGGUGCAAGCGUUAAUCGGAAUUACUGGGCGUAAAGCGUGCGCAGGCGGUUAUAUAAGACAGAUGUGAAAUCCCCGGGCUCAACCUGGGAACUGCAUUUGUGACUGUAUAGCUAGAGUACGGCAGAGGGGGAUGGAAUUCCGCGUGUAGCAGUGAAAUGCGUAGAUAUGCGGAGGAACACCGAUGGCGAAGGCAAUCCCCUGGGCCUGUACUGACGCUCAUGCACGAAAGCGUGGGGAGCAAACAGGAUUAGAUACCCGGGUAGUCCCUGUCUCUUAUAU
rnacentral:rRNA from 1 species